rnacentral:lncRNA from 1 species
GCUCUCUUAGCUGGCCUGCUGGCCUCGUGUCCCGAGAACCCCUUGCAUUUUAUUGAGGAGAAGCUUUUAGCAAUCCAGAAGAGCAGGGACAUUUACGUUAACUGGGAUGCCUAUGCUGAUGAUGAUGUGGAGGUUGACGUUUACCCAUCUGAUGAAAAUGUGGUGCUUGAUAUAAUGAAUAUUUUCAUAGACCCAGAUGACAGUGACACGGUAUAAUGCUUUGCUCACCCUCUGAAUUUUCCAAAAGCAUAUUAUUGCCCAAAAGAAGUGUAUACCUUUUUACAUUUGUCCAUUAAUGUUUGUUUGGUUCUGUAGAUGUCACCUUUUUUUGAAGAGGCAUGUUACUGUUAUCACAAGAGUCUUUUCAAGAUGUGCUUCAUGGCCUGGAAAAGGUACAUCCUGAAGAGGAAAACAGAAAGGAUCAUCCUGCGUCAGAACAUGGAUGCUGCUCAGGGCCACUAUUCAAAGAAAGUCCUGCAUUAUACUUUCAGAAUAUGGAUAAAGUGGGUCCAGUGUAAGAAGAAGAGAAAGAAGGAUGCUGUUAAGAAAAUCCAAAAAGUGUAUGAAAUAUUGCACAUUAGGAACAUAUUUUUUGCAUGGCGAUAUGCGGUGCAGGACUCAAAGAGGUCGAAGGAGUACUUUGAGAAGUGGGAAAUAGGCUUCAGAAGUCAUGCCAUCAGACAUGAGAAGCCUAGCCAACAGAUCGACACCACUGAGAAAAAAGACAUUAUUUCAAUGUUGCCGAGCAAGUUGUCUAUGAAGGUAUAG